GAUCGACUGGCCUAGUGGUUAUGGCGUCUGUCUUACAUUCUUCAAUGUAAACACACAGAAGGUCGCAGGUUCGACCCCUGCGUCGAUCA
rfam:Aspergillus terreus NIH2624 scaffold_5 genomic scaffold, whole genome shotgun sequence.